UAGGGAGACCUAAUCCAUUUAGAAAUCGAAAACAAUGAAAAUUGUCAAUAGAAACUAAGUUGGUCUAACCUAGGUCGUUCGAGAUUGGUAGACAUCUUUCAAAGUAUUAUUCGGCUUCGUUCAAAACCAUAUAUAAUAAAUGGAAAAAGACAGCACCUAAUUGUCAAAGUUAGACUGCUGGAUGAAGUUCCAGCCAGAACCUUGAAAACUGCAUAAGAGAACAAGAAAAAGCAGGCAGACACAGACAUUUAGAUGGAUGUGGAAGCAAAAGAAAUUGU
rnacentral:misc_RNA from 1 species